GAAUUCAUAUUUUGAAAGUGAAAAAUAGUAAUAGUGAAAUAGUGAUAAAUGAUUUAGUGGAGCAAAAGUGAUGUGAAAUUUAUGGCGAAAUUGCUAAAUAAAUUAGUGAAAAUGGUUUAAUUUUUGGAUUACACAAAUGGGAAAAGGCAGCGGCUUUUUACUGCCCAAAAUAAUUCCAUCGAGCGACGACCCCACCGAGCGUCCGCCCCACAACACGACUUGAACGCAGCUCACCAACGCGCCUACAAACAUCAAAACAUAGCACAACGCGCGCUACGCACCGUUUCCAUACAAACGGUGCACGCGGAGAGUGAGGUUAGGUUGGAUACAUAGAUAUGUAUGUAUGUAUAAAUUUCGGCUCCGGCGACCGGCUAGCUGACAGCUUUGUGCACAAAUGCUCCUACAAAGCAUACACAAACGCAACCAUCACUUGCAAAAGCGAGCGCAGAACAGUCAGCAAACAGUGCCAGGCUGCUGCUGCUGCUAACGCCGCUGCUACUGCGCCGCCGCCAUGCGGUUAAUGAACGACCAACCAGAUUAUACGGCGUGUAACCUUGAACUCCUAUGUUGGCGCUUUGCUGUUUAAAGAACACAAAAACAACAACAAGUACAACAACUUUGCACACACAAUACAACAAGCAGAAAAACCGCUGACAGCAGGCAGCGGCGUCAGCAGCAUACCAAUUAGAGAAGGCGCAAGUGUUUGCGGCGUCCAGCGAACCCUCCGCAAAACUUGCAAGCAAAAAAAUAACGGACAUUGGCUUGAAAGCUGUUACGCGCUUACUCGCCGGCGCGUGGCUUGCAACAUUUAACAUUUCAGCAUGUCAUCAGAUACUUUUGGCGUCAGCAAACAUCAGCCGCCGCCGCCGCCAGCAGGCAGCAGCAGCAGCAGUGUCAACAAACAGCAAGAAAGUACAGCAAAAAUGCUGGCGCUGCCAAAAAUAAAUGCUAUAAAUGUGCUUGUAUGUGCGUGUGUGCGUGUGUGUGUGCAUAAUGCAAAUAUGCGCAAGUCGCUGCAAUUUUCGUUUAUGACAAGGUGGCAGCGCGGUAGAUCAACGCCACCACGCAACAGCAGCAGCAACAACAACAACUUUUGCGUGCAUAGUCAAAAUGAUAACAACAAAAGUUUGAGAAAAAAAUUACACUCAGCAAAUAUUUGCGGCGCACGACGACUGUACAAACACGCGAAAAUUACAACAACAACAACAAAUAAUAUUGCAAAAGUCACAAAUGCGCAGAGGCGAGCGACCCGGCGGAGCAAUGCCUCCAAAACUACCGUCAUGCAAUUGAUUAUACGGUUGAACACGGCAAUUUUGCAUCGCAUGCAAUAUUGUACACAUUUAUAUGUAUGCGUUUGUGUGUUGUUGCAUAUGUAUGCAUGUGUGUAUAUGCGCUUAUUUUUGCACCAGUCAAGUAAACAACUGCUGGCGGUCGCUCACUUGUUUUAUUGCCGUUUAAUUUUCGGUAUUGACAGUUGUUAUUGCUUUAUGCUAGCACAACAACAACAACAACAGUCAGCAAAUAAGCCGAAAAUUAUUAAAAAAAAAACAUUGGUAACGAGGUCAUUUGCACUUUACGCAAUUGGGAGAAAGAAGUUCAGUCACAAAAGUACUAAAUGGAACAUGCAACGUCAGCGCAAAUGCGGAAUGCAACACUGCAAGUGCAAAAGCACACAAACAACGACUACGUAAUUUAACUUUUGUCAAGAGUUUUGUAUUAUUCUGCUCUAAUUGUUGAAAAAGAGGAAGAAAUUUAAUUACUUGUUUUAAUUUUUUUAUAAUUUAUUUCUUU
rnacentral:misc_RNA from 1 species